CCUACGGGAGGCAGCAGUGGGGAAUAUUGCACAAUGGGGGAAACCCUGAUGCAGCGACGCCGCGUGAGUGAAGAAGUACUUCGUUAUGUAAAGCUCUAUCAGCAGGGAAGAAAAUGACGGUACCUGAGUCAGAAGCCCCGGCUAACUACGUGCCAGCAGCCGCGGUAAUACGUAGGGGGCAAGCGUUAUCCGGAUUUACUGGGUGUAAAGGGAGCGUAGACGGCAUGGCAAGUCUGGAGUGAAAGGCGGGGGCUCAACCCCCGGACUGCCCUGGAAACUGUACGGCUGGAGUGCAGGUGAGGUAAGUGGAAUUCCUAGUGUAGCGGUGAAAUGCGUAGAUAUUAGGAGGAACACCAGUGGCGAAGGCAGCUUACUGGACUGUAACUGACGUUGAGGCUCGAAAGCGUGGGGAGCAAACAGGAUUAGAUACCCUUGUAGUC
rnacentral:rRNA from 1 species